GCUUGGAUGUGAAUGUAGGAGGUGUGAAAAGUACUUUUGUGGAGAAUGGGAAAUGUGGGUAGCGAGGAAGUCUGCCAAUGUUCGCAACAAGGUAUAGGCUAGAUCAUCGAACCCUUAUUGUCAUGCAGGGAUAUCAAUACUGGAGGAUGUAGUUUUCUUCACACAAAGAGUAUCAGUUUUACCUCGUUUGAUGAUAUCAGAUGUUUCUCUCAAUGCCAUGUUG